rnacentral:rRNA from 1 species
UACAGAGGGUGCGAGCGUUGUUCGGAAUUACUGGGCGUAAAGCGCGCGCAGGCGGCCUUUUAAGUCUGACGGUGAAAUGCCGGGGCUCAACCCCGUGCCCGCCGGAGAUACUGGGAGGCUGGAGACGAGUAGAGGCAAGCGGAAUUCCGGGUGUAGCGGUGGAAUGCGUAGAGAUCCGGAAGAACACCGGAGGCGAAGGCGGCUUGCUGGGCUCGGUCUGACGCUGAGGCGCGAAAGCCAGGGGAGCGAACGGG